ACUUGUUAUUUUACUCUAUGUCAAAUACUAACAGGAGAAAGAUGUUUCAUCCACAAGACUGUGACUUCUCAAACACACAGCUUUACAAGGUGACAUUCGGCUUCGGGAUGGACUCUCAGAUGACCCCAGUGGACGCUGGAAAUGAAGGCAAUCAUGCUGAGGGCCUGGCAGUCACACUUCAGCUAAGAGAAACCCUUCCUUCUACAGUUUUCUUUAAGGAAAUGUAGUUUUAUUCUCCUAUUUAGCAAUAUAUUCCGUGUCCUCCAAACUCUAAGUUACAAGUUUUUUCAAAUAAGAACUUGAAAAAGUACCAAAGUUUGGGACACUAGGGACAGACUAUCAUUGGUACAGCAGCCUCAGCCUGGUUUCCAUCAAGGACCGGCUGUGAAAUGGAGGGGCUCGGAGGGCCACAGUCAAGAGCCUAGUGAGUUGGAAUUCCGUUAACAGCUCUACCUCUCUUCCGCUGUGUAACCUCGGGCUAGAGUUCAGAAGUGAGUGGUCUGGAUUCAGAAGACUGCCAGAAGCUAAGUGAGGUACAUCACAAAGGAACACAGGACUGUGAGCUAGAACAGGAGAGUGAAUGUUCGCUGGGGCCUUCCAGAAGACAGUUCAGUCUUAGCAAACUGGCCAGGAAGGAUUUUCAUCAAGAUGGAGGAAA
rnacentral:lncRNA from 1 species